GGUGGUUCUCGGGUGACACACCCUGGAAUCGGGCUCCCUCCUCUCUGGUUCCGGGUGUGUCACCCAAGAACCGCA
rfam:Myotis brandtii contig237111, whole genome shotgun sequence.